AGCAACACCACGCUGAAACACCGGUUCCCGUACGAUCAUCGAAGUUAAGCAAUGUUGAAGCUGGUCAGUACCUAGAUGAGUAACCAUUUGGGAAUAUUAGGUGCUGUA